rnacentral:rRNA from 1 species
AGACUAAGCCAUGCAUGUCUAAGUAUAAACGCUUCUAUACUGUGAAACUGCGAAUGGCUCAUUAAAUCAGUUAUAGUUUAUUUGAUGGUUCCUACUACAUGGAUAACCGUGGUAAUUCUAGAGCUAAUACAUGCAGAAAGUCCCGACUUCUGGAAGGGAUGUAUUUAUUAGAUCCAAAACCGGCGCGGGUCCUUCUGGGCCCGGUUGCUUGGUGAUUCAUGAUAACUGCUCGAACCGUAUGGCCUUAGCGCCGACGGUGCUUCAUUCAAAUUUCUGCCCUAUCAACUUUCGAUGGUACGGUAGUGGCCUACCAUGGUUGCAACGGGUGACGGAGAAUUAGGGUUCGAUUCCGGAGAGGGAGCCUGAGAAACGGCUACCACAUCCAAGGAAGGCAGCAGGCGCGCAAAUUACCCAAUCCCGACUCGGGGAGGUAGUGACAAUAAAUAACAAUGCCGGGCUUUCUUAGUCUGGCAAUUGGAAUGAGUACAAUCUAAACCCCUUAACGAGGAACAAUUGGAGGGCAAGUCUGGUGCCAGCAGCCGCGGUAAUUCCAGCUCCAAUAGCGUAUAUUAAAGUUGUUGCAGUUAAAAAGCUCGUAGUUGGAUUUCGGGGCAGCCUGGCUGGUCCGCCGCAAGGCGAGUACUGGUCAGCCGCCCUUCCUCUCGAAAGCCCCGACUGCUCUUUAUUGUAGUGGUCGGGUAGUUCGGGACGUUUACUUUGAAAAAAUUAGAGUGUUCAAGGCAGGCCUACGCCUGAAUACAUUAGCAUGGAAUAAUGGAAGAGGACCUCGGUCCUAUUUUGUUGGUUUCCAGGGCCGAAGUAAUGAUUAAGAGGGACAGUUGGGGGCAUUCGUAUUUAAUUGUCA